UUUAUUGUUUUCCUCUUCUCUUGUGCUUCUUCUUCAUUCCUUUGUCUUGUAAGGGAGGUUGCUAGUUGGAAGGUUUUUGAAGCUUGGUUUUCAGCUGGGCUAUCUUUUCAACACUCUCUUUUCCAGCCAUCAUAGAUCGUUUUAGGGAGUGGUCUUGAAUCUCAUUUUGCAAUUAGGCCAAUACCAGAUCAAGAGUAGUAGACCGUGAUGGAUCUUGAAAGACUGCCUGUAGAUGUUGCUUGUCCUGUGUAAAAUUGUAGUCCUUGUCAUUGUCUAUCACUAUGUUCCUGUAUUUUGUAUUUCUGGACUUCUUGUAUCUUUGCAUUGUAUACUUUAUAGAGUCUGUAAUCCUGU